UGCAGAGAUGGGAGCAGCGUUCUCGAAUGUUCAUGGGAAGGUUAAAUGGGACCCCAGCCAGGGAAAUACAUUUCCUACUCAGUCUAUUCCUGUUUUGCAUCUCUUCUGUGGACUUCAUGCCCAAUGUGGGGCUUGAACUCACAACCCUGGGAUCAAGUAUCAGAUGCUCUACCGACUGAGCCAGCCGGGCGCCCCCUCAUUUGUAUUGUUCUUGAUGAAAAUGUCAGGAUUCAUCUAUUUUGAUGGGGAGUGUUCUUAUUAAAGGAGCCCCAUUGGAAUGUAUUUGUUAAUGGUCUUCCUCCUCCUGGUGAAAUCUCUACAGAUAAGGCUCAGCGUGUAUUAUCUCCCAGGGAGUGUUUAUAUUUUAUCGGCGAAGACUUACAAGCUCAGAAAGCCUUCAAGGGGUGAAGAAUGAGCCUCUAAAAGAAAAUUUAAGGGCGCCCGGGGGGGCUCAGUUGGCUGGGCGUCCGACUUCGGCUCA